rnacentral:rRNA from 1 species
GACGAACGCUGGCGGCGUGCCUAAUACAUGCAAGUAGGACGCAGUUGCGAACGGGUGAGUAACGCGUAGGUAACUACCUAUUAGAGGGGGAUAACUAUUGGAAACGAUAGCUAAUACCGCAUACUAGUAGAUGGACCUGCGUUGUAUUAGCUAGUAGGUAGGGUAAUGGCCUACCUAGGCAACGAUACAUAGCCGACCGGGGAGGGUGGUCGGACAAACGGGGACUUAGAACCGGCCCAGAAUCCUACUGGAGGCAGCAGUAGGGAAUCUUCGGAAAUGGGGGGAACCCUAACCGAGCGACGCCGCGGGAGUGAAGAAGGUUUUCGGAUCGUAAAGCUCUGUUGUUAAGGAAGCGGUACUUAACCAGAAAGGGACGGCUAACUACGUGCCAGCCGCCGCGGUAAUAC